AGUUAGUCGCGUAGGGUACAGAGGUAAGAUGUUCUAUCUUUCAGACCUUUUACUUCACGUAAUCGGAUUUGGCUGAAUA
rnacentral:misc_RNA from 1 species